UUUGGAGGUCAUUCUCUUGUGUCUUUCUCUGUGUCCCAGCCAGGCCUCUCUCCACAGGGAUAUCUCCGCAGGUUCUGUCAAGUGUGUAAGCGAAGAAGCAACCUAUACAGGAGAGUCUUCGAGAAGUUUGAUAAGGACAGGGAUGGACUGCCUUCUCUCAAGGAAAUGGAACGUGGUAUAUGUAACCUGUAUAUGACUGAUGUCACCGCUGGGCUGCUCCAGCGGCUGGUGGUAUUGAUUGACGCAAAAUCACACUUUGACUGUGUCAUUCUGCGCGACAUGUGCCCUGUCUGAAAGAAUAUUUCACUCUCUGUUAAUGAAAGAAGACAUGGAGGAACAUUUUGAAAAGGACCGUUUAGAAGAGGCCGACUUCAGCUCACUGAUGGGAAAGCUCUGCUACCAUAACAUUUCACCUCCAACGACUAGACUGUUGUUAAUGAUUUCAAGACUUACAUGUGUUCAAAAAACCUAGACCAGCGCCUCAAAGGUUAGUACUAGGCCCAGUGGUCUCACGUACCAGAUUUGAUAGGGCUUUCUUUGUAGACACUGGCUGUUGAGACUAGGGCCCCUGUAACCUAGUUAGGGUCUUACAGUCACCUGUCAUCGGAGUGUCACGGUGACAAUUCAUAUAAACGUUUGUUGGAUUAUUUGUCCCCUUCCAUUUUAAUAAACUUGUUCAAAGCCAACAUUCUUCUAAUGUAGGCCUACAUAUUUCCCUGCCAUACAUGCUCAACUGGUAUACAAGUAAAGCACUGUUUCUGUAAAUGACAACUGCUAGCAAAUAAAUGCAAUCCAUCAUUACAAAUGUUUUAACUUGACAUCUUCAACAAAAAACUCUGAUUAGAGAUUUGGUAUCAGGGCCAACCAACCAUGUGCCCUGUGGUUGUGUUAGAAAAUCCCUUGUCUAUCUCCAACCUUCCUCCAGUGCUUCUCAAAUGACAGUGACUUAACAUGGCCCACCAAAAAUAAAUGGGUAUACAUCCAACAGGCAAGCUUCCAUUUUGUGAGUCAUUUCUAACCAUGUUUAAACACCCAAUUCCAUGGCUUUACUCCAUGGCUUUUUAAAAAGUAAAAACCAAGAAGCAUGAAUGAAUUGUUUGAUGCAAUCAACACCAACAGACAUUUAGGUAUGUUUAAUUUAGAUUGUUUAAUGUUAAUUCCAUGCUGUGUUUCAGAAAGAACAAUAGGAGACGCUCUGUGGCUCCAGUCAGAUAUCCAGUAGUACAAAUUAGCUUUAAAUUACACAUAAUGAAGC